ensembl:lncRNA
UUAUUGAUCGUCAUGAAAAAAAACAUAAGGGGUAACACUGUUGUUUUUUAUUGGUCGUCAUGAAAAAAGACAUAAGGGGUAACACUGUUGUUUUUUAUUGGUCGUCAUGAAAAAAAACAUAAGGGGGGUAACAUUGUUGUUUUUUAUUGGUCGUCAUGAAAAAAAACAUGAGGGGUAACACUGUUGUUUUUUAUUGGUCGUCAUGAAAAAAAACAUAAGGGGUAACACUGUUUUUUUUUAUUGGUCGUCAUGAAAAAAAGAAAUAAGGGGGGUAACACUGUUUUUUUAUUGGUCGUCAUGAAAAUAAACAUAAGGGGUAACACUGUUGUUUUUUAUUGGUCGCCAUGAAAAAAAACAUAAGGGGUA